rnacentral:rRNA from 1 species
UGGGGAAUCUUCCGCAAUGGACGAAAGUCUGACGGAGCAACGCCGCGUGAGUGAAGAAGGUUUUCGGAUCGUAAAACUCUGUCUUUUGGGGCGAACGUGAGUAUGGUGAACAAUCAUAGUCAGUGACGGUACCAAAGGAGGAAGCCACGGCUAACUACGUGCCAGCAGCCGCGGUAAUACGUAGGUGGCAAGCGUUGUCCGGAAUUAUUGGGCGUAAAGAGCGCGUAGGCGGGAUAGUCAGUCUGUUGUAAAGUGCGGGGCUCAACCCCGUGAUCGCAAUGGAAACAGCUAUUCUUGAGUGCAGGAGAGGAAAGUGGAAUUCCCAGUGUAGCGGUGAAGUGCGUAGAUAUUGGGAGGAACACCAGUGGCGAAGGCGACUUUCUGGACUGUGUCUGACGCUGAGGCGCGAAAGCCAGGGGAGCGAACGGGAUUAGAUACCCCGGUAGUCCUGGCCGUAAACGAUGGGUACUAGGUGUGGGAGGUAUCGACCCCUUCCGUGCGGAGUUAACGCAAUAAGUCCCCGGCCUGGGGAGUACGGUCGCAAGACUGAAACUCAAAUGAAUUGAGC